rnacentral:lncRNA from 1 species
UGUUAUGGAGUCAAGGCUAAUGUUUCAUUUGAUGAUAGCACUUUUCAUUUAACCCUUAUUUUGAAUAGAUUAUCAUAUAAUUGUGUAAAGAUUGAUAACUAAAUAUUUAUGAAUGUUCCUUCAAGCUGUGUUUAUUUCACUCCUAACCGAAGCUCACCCUGCUAUCUUCCUCUGGAGAUAACACCUUAAGGAUAUGGUAUUUAACCCAGAAGUCAAAAAUAGCCACGUCAUCACUGGCCACAAGGACUGGAUCAGCCACUGUCCUCACUGGCCACAAGGACUGGAUCAGCCACUGUCCUCACUGGCCACAAGGACUGGAUCAGCCACUGUCCUCACUGGCCACAAGGACUGGAUCAGCCACUGUUCUCACUGGCCACAAGGACUGGGUCAGCCACUGUUCUCAUUGGCCACAAGGACUGGGUCAGCCACUGGCCACAAGGGCUGGGUCAGCCACUGUUCUCACUGGCCACAAGGACUGGGUCAGCCACUGUUCUCACUGGCCACAAGGACUGGAUCAGCCACUGUUCUCACUGGCCACAAGGACUGGAUCAGCCACUGUUCUCACUGGCCACAAGGACUGGGUCAGCCACUGUUCUCACUGUCCACAAGGACUGGAUCAGCCACUGUUCUCACUGGCCACAAGGACUGGAUCAGCCACUGUUCUCACUGGCCACAAGGACUGGGUCAGCCACUGGCCACAAGGACUGGCCACUGUUCUCGCUGGCCACAAGGACUGGAUCAGCCACUGGCCACAAGGACUGGAUCAGCCACUGUUCUCACUGGCCACAAGGACUGGAUCAGCCACUGUUCUCACUGGCCACAAGGACUGGGUCUGCCACUGUUCUCACUGGCCACAAGGACUGGGUCAGCCACUGGCCACAAGGACUGGAUCAGCCACUGGCCACAAGGACUGGAUCAGCCACUGUUCUCACUGGCCACAAGGACUGGGUCUGCCGCUGUUCUCACUGGCCACAAGGACUGGAUCAGCCACUGGCCACAAGGACUGGAUCAGCCACUGUUCUCACUGGCCACAAGGACUGGGUCAGCCACUGGCCACAAGGACUGGCUCAGCCACUUCUCACUGGCCACAAGGACUGGGUCAGCCACUGUUCUCACUGGCCACAAGGACUGGGUCAGCCACUGUUCUCACUAG